rnacentral:rRNA from 1 species
GAUGAACGCUGGCGGCGUGCCUAAUACAUGCAAGUCGAGCGAACAGACGAGGAGCUUGCUCCUCUGAUGUUAGCGGCGGACGGGUGAGUAACACGUGGAUAACCUACCUAUAAGACUGGGAUAACUUCGGGAAACCGGAGCUAAUACCGGAUAACAUGGUGAACCGCAUGGUUCAACAGUGAAAGACGGUCUUGCUGUCACUUAUAGAUGGAUCCGCGCCGCAUUAGCUAGUUGGUAAGGUAACGGCUUACCAAGGCAACGAUGCGUAGCCGACCUGAGAGGGUGAUCGGCCACACUGGAACUGAGACACGGUCCAGACUCCUACGGGAGGCAGCAGUAGGGAAUCUUCCGCAAUGGGCGAAAGCCUGACGGAGCAACGCCGCGUGAGUGAAGAAGGUCUUCGGAUCGUAAAACUCUGUUAUUAGGGAAGAACAAAUGUGUAAGUAACUAUGCACGUCUUGACGGUACCUAAUCAGAAAGCCACGGCUAACUACGUG